GAGACCUUGUUUGUAGUUUUUACCAGGUGUCGGUGAUUAUAAGUUUGCUGGCAGCUCGCUUACACUAGUAUCUCUGUUAUACAUAUCGCAUAAAUAUUGAAACAGUAUAAUUAAUAGGAUUGCGAGAAUCGUCUGAUAUCACUUACCGAUACCUGCUGAACUCAAGUUUGUUAUAAAUACUGAUUGUGAGACAGGGGAAUCGAAUCGUGACUCUGGGACACGGUGACCGAUUGCAGUGAUCGUGUGCUCAAUGGACUCAGACAGUUCUGCACGGGGAAAAACAAAAGACGGUGGAACGUGCGAGGAGAUACCGUCUUCCAAAAGAAAUUAGUGGAACAAAAGGAACCAUUCUACUUUCAAACGAUCUCUACCAGAGAAAACAACGACCUGGACUCAGCGUAAUUGCAUUCUUCCCUAGCGACUCGGUGCUGGAAAAUCGAGGCUUGGCCAGUGAGCCGAGAUGAGACUCGAUUGUCUGGUCCAAGGUGCGCGGAUUGGACGACUUUCUCCGAUAGUUCGAACAGUACCGGUACCAGGAAAUCGCCCCAGGAGUGGAAAGGAAACCACCGAGCGGAUACCAUUGGAGGAGCAGGAGGUGACGAGACCGAAAUCGGCGACGGUGGAACCAUGAAGCUGGCGCGUGACUCUUGAACCGUGCGUAAAAGCUACGAGAUAAGGUUCCCCAUGGAGAACAUACCUCUGCUGGAACUUGGAUAAAAGCACGAAACAAAGGAGACGUUUUCGAGGAAGAACGAGAAGAGCCAAGAGAACGAUAUUCUUCGAGAGGGAUCUAGAGAUUCGCCCAAGUGCCGCCUCGUUCCGCGAUCAAAUGGUGCGUCGCGAUCAUUCGUCUUCGAUGUAACAGGCUGUCACUGGAAAUUCAGCGUGCUGCACGGGAUCGAUAGAACACCCACACGUGUAUCUUCAUCUUCGCGAAGUGCUCUUUGAAUUAAAAUUUUCUUAUUUAUUGCUCGAAAACGUAAUGAAUGAUAAAAGGUUAGACAAUGUGGGAGUGACGUUACGAUAAGCCAAGUUAUUAGUUUAUUCAAUCAUUCGACAGUGAAAUUGAUUUAGUAUAGAGAAUAUAUGCUUUCAGUUCUUUCUAGAGAAAAUAUUAAUAAUUUUAAUAAUUUUAAUUAAUAUUAAUAAUUAAACGAAGAUAUUUGAGAUAUGAAAUUUGUAGUAAUAUAUUUCACGGUUUGUCUCAGUUUCUUUCAGACUACCCUUUUCAGACUAAGUAAUUAAUGCUAGAACUACUGACCUUUAAUAUGUACAGAAAUAUAUUAGAAACAUAUUAGAAAUUAGUAAAUUAGAAACAUAAGUAAAAUACGCAAGCGUUUCUGUUCCGGUAAAAGUAAACAUUUAUAUGACCAAGAAUGCACGUGCGUGCUUUUUGUCGCUACAAAAAUAAAAUACCCGAUAUCGUCACUUCGUAGCUUUAAUAUUAAUUUGUUUAAUUUGGUAGAAAUAUCAAUUUCUACCGUAUGUUCCCAGAUAUACAACACGUAAACAGUUGCAUAUAAAAUAAUAGAACGAAAGUAAAUAUCUCCAUGUAAUUACAUUUCUAUCUAAAUAAAAGUCAACAUUAAUUUCACUGAAA